UACAUGGGGUGCAAACGUUGCUCGGAAUUAUUGGGCGUAAAGCGCGCGUAGGCGGUUACUUAAGUCAGAUGUGAAAGCCCUCGGCUUAACUGAGGAAGUGCACCCGAAACUGAGUAGCUAGAGUACGAAAGAGGGUCGCGGAAUUCCCGGUGUAGAGGUGAAAUUCGUAGAUAUCGGGAGGAACACCGGUGGCGAAGGCGGCGACCUGGGUCGAGACUGACGCUGAGGCGCGAAAGCGUGGGGAGCAAACAGG
rnacentral:rRNA from 1 species